rnacentral:rRNA from 1 species
UACGUAGGGUGCGAGCGUUAAUCGGAAUUACUGGGCGUAAAGCGUGCGCAGGCGGUUUUGUAAGCCAGAUGUGAAAUCCCCGGGCUCAACCUGGGAAUGGCAUUUGGGACUGCAAGGCUUGAGUGCGGCAGAGGAGACUGGAAUUCCUGGUGUAGCAGUGAAAUGCGUAGAUAUCAGGAGGAAUACCGAUGGCGAAGGCAGGUCUCUGGGCUGACACUGACGCUCAUGCACGAAAGCGUGGGGAUCGAACAGG